CCCUCCAUGGUGCAGUUGGAAGUGCUGCCGCAUCUUUGAAUUUGCGGUAUCUGACGGUCGGCGGUUCGACUCCGCCUUGAGGAG